rnacentral:tRNA from 1 species
UGGGGCGUAGUUCAAUUGGCAGAACGUCGGACUGUUAAUCCGAAGGUUGCAGGUUCGAGUCCUGCCGCCCCAG